UUCACUGUUUGUUAGCUCAAUACAAACAAUGGACUCUGGGAACUACACAUGCUCAGCCGAAAACAUGUUUGGGAAGGAUGAAAUAACAUACUCGACAACAGAAAUAGAGGAAUUCCUUCAUCACCAGUGGCAUUACAUGUUUCAUCGACAACUGUUUCGAGUAUAACACUGCAGUGGCAGUCACCUUCUGCACAUGUGAACCUCAUCCAAGGU